GUGAGGAAUAUUGGUCAAUGGGCGGGAGCCUGAACCAGCCAAGUCACGUGAAGGAAGAAGGAUCUAUGGUUCGUAAACUUCUUUUGCAGGGGAAUAAAGUGCAGGACGUGUCCUGUUUUGUAUGUACCCUGAGAAUAAGGAUCGGCUAACUCCGUGCCAGCAGCCGCGGUAAUACGGAGGAUCCGAGCGUUAUCCGGAUUUAUUGGGUUUAAAGGGUGCGUAGGUGGUUUGAUAAGUCAGCGGUGAAAGUUUGCAGCUUAACUGUAAAAAUGCCGUUGAAACUGUCGGACUUGAGUGUAAAUGAGGUAGGCGGAAUGCGUGGUGUAGCGGUGAAAUGCAUAGAUAUCACGCAGAACUCCGAUUGCGAAGGCAGCUUACUAAGCUACAACUGACACUGAAGCACGAAAGCGUGGGGAUCAAACAGGAUUAGAUACCCGAGUAGUCC
rnacentral:rRNA from 1 species